rfam:Desulfobacula toluolica Tol2 complete genome
AGAAUUCAAUAAAAUCAAAUACUUAGCUUGGAUCGGUAUAAUGACUAAUGAAUGCAGCGAACAAGAUGGGUUAAGCGUAGGCAGAGAAUCUUGUAGGCCGUAGGGGUGAUCGCGCGCACCCUGAAGUGCUGGUACAGCUUCGAAAUGGUAAUUGCGGAUGCCGAGGGUUUCAACGUACGCCGAAGUUAACACAGAAGCAUUCGUUAAUGGCGAGAAUGUGGAGGUCUGCCGGAGUCAACAGGCCG